GAUGAACGCUGGCGGCGUGCCUAAUACAUGCAAGUCGAGCGAACGGACGAGAAGCUUGCUUCUCUGAUGUUAGCGGCGGACGGGUGAGUAACACGUGGAUAACCUACCUAUAAGACUGGGAUAACUUCGGGAAACCGGAGCUAAUACCGGAUAAUAUUUUGAACCGCAUGGUUCAAAAGUGAAAGACGGUCUUGCUGUCACUUAUCGCUGGAUCCCCGCUGCAUUAGCUAGUUGGUAAGGUAACGGCUUACCAAGGCAACGAUGCCUAGCCGACCUGAGAGGCGGAUAGGCCACAUGGGAAGUGAGACACGGUCCAGACUCCUAAGGGAGGCAGCAGUAGGGAAUGUUCCGCAAUGGGCGAAAGCCUGACGGAGCAACGCCGCGUGAGUGACGAAGGCCUUCGGAUCGUAAAACUCUGUUAUUAGGGAAGAACAUAUGUGUAAGUAAAUGUGCACAGCUUGACGGUACCUAAUCAGAAAGCCACGGCUAACUACGUG
rnacentral:rRNA from 1 species